rnacentral:rRNA from 1 species
GACCAGACUCCUACGGGAGGCAGCAGUGGGGAAUAUUGGGUAAUGGACGCAAGUCUGACCCAGCAACGCCGCGUGAAGGAAGAAGGCUUUCGGGUUGUAAACUUCUUUUAAGGGGGAAGAGCAGAAGACGGUACCCCUUGAAUAAGCCUCGGCUAACUACGUGCCAGCAGCCGCGGUAAUACGUAGGAGGCAAGCGUUAUCCGGAAUGACUGGGCGUAAAGGGUGCGUAGGUGGUUUGACAAGUUGGUAGCGUAACUCCGGGGCUCAACCUCGGCACUACUACCAAAACUGUUGGACUUGAGUGCAGGAGGGGCAAAUGGAAUUCCUAGUGUAGCGGUGGAAUGCGUAGAUAUUAGGAGGAACACCAGUGGCGAAGGCGAUUUGCUGGACUGUAACUGACACUGAGGCACGAAAGCGUGGGGAGCAAACAGGAUUAGAUACCCGAGUA